rnacentral:lncRNA from 1 species
CAGGGUCACACAGCUAGUAGCUGAGGCAAGAUUUGAACUCGGGUCCCCCUGACUCCAGGGCAGGUGCUCUAUCCACUGCACCACCAAGCUGCCCCGGUUGACCUCAGAAGUCCUUUCCAGCUCACAUUCUAAAUACCCCAGGCCCCAAGGUGAGGCCAAGAUAUUCUGACCAGGUCCGGGGAUGGAAACAGUUUCUAUGUGUCCUUAGCCAAAGCAAGUUCCCAGAGGCUGCCCACCUUGACCCCAGAGAGAUGAACAUCUUCUUCAUCUUCA